CAGAAUAUAGCUAAAACAUAGCACUUCCCUUACACUGAAAAGUUGCCCGCGCAAACCGGGCUAUUCUGA
rnacentral:tRNA from 1 species